rfam:Ovis aries breed Texel chromosome 18, whole genome shotgun sequence.
UCCCUAGAAGUUCAAUGGGUAAGACUCUGUGUUCCUAGUGCAGGGGUCCUGGGUUCGAUCCCUAGCCAGGGAA